rnacentral:rRNA from 1 species
UACAGAGGUCCCAAGCGUUGUUCGGAUUUACUGGGCGUAAAGGGUGCGUAGGUGGCGAGGUAAGUUCGAUGUGAAAUCUCCGAGCUCAACUCGGAAAUGGCAUUGAAUACUAUCCCGCUUGAGGGUCGGAGGGGAGACUGGAAUUCUCGGUGUAGCAGUGAAAUGCGUAGAUAUCGCUUGGAACGCCAAAGGUGAAGACAGGUUGCUGGAGAUGUGCCGACACUGAGACGCGAAAGCCAGGGGAGCGAACGGG